rnacentral:rRNA from 1 species
GACGAACGCUGGCGGCGUGCUUAACACAUGCAAGUCGAACGGGAAGGCCCUGCUUUUGUGGGGUGCUCGAGUGGCGAACGGGUGAGUAACAAGUGAGUAACCUGCCCUUGACUUUGGGAUAACUUCAGGAAACUGGGGCUAAUACCGGAUAGGAGCUCCUGCUGCAUGGUGGGGGGUGGAAAGUUUCGGCGGUUGGGGAUGGACUCGCGGCUUAUCAGCUUGUUGGUGGGGUAGUGGCUUGCCAAGGCUUUGACGGGUAGCCGGCCUGAGAGGGUGACCGGCCACAUUGGGACUGAGAUACGGCCCAGACUCCUACGGGAGGCAGCAGUGGGGAAUAUUGCACAAUGGGCGGAAGCCUGAUGCAGCAACGCCGCGUGCGGGAUGACGGCCUUCGGGUUGUAAACCGCUUUCGCCUGUGACGAAGCGUGAGUGACGGUAAUGGGUAAAGAAGCACCGGCUAACUACGUG